rnacentral:rRNA from 1 species
CCUACGGGGGGCUGCAGUGGGGAAUAUUGGACAAUGGGGGGAACCCUGAUCCAGCCAUGCCGCGUGUGUGAAGAAGGCCCUCGGGUUGUAAAGCACUUUCAGUGAGGAAGAACGCCUGGUGGUUAAUACCCAUCAGGAAAGACAUCACUCACAGAAGAAGCACCGGCUAACUCCGUGCCAGCAGCCGCGGUAAUACGGAGGGUGCGAGCGUUAAUCGGAAUUACUGGGCGUAAAGCGCGCGUAGGUGGCUUGAUAAGCCGGUUGUGAAAGCCCCGGGCUCAACCUGGGAACGGCAUCCGGAACUGUCAAGCUAGAGUGCAGGAGAGGAAGGUAGAAUUCCCGGUGUAGCGGUGAAAUGCGUAGAGAUCGGGAGGAAUACCAGUGGCGAAGGCGGCCUUCUGGACUGACACUGACACUGAGGUGCGAAAGCGUGGGUAGCAAACAGGAUUAGAUACCCCUGUGUC